rnacentral:rRNA from 1 species
GGGGUCUAAUACCGGAUACUGACCGGCCUGGCAUCCAGGCGGGUCGAAAGCUCCGGCGGUGAAGGAUGAGCCCGCGGCCUAUCAGCUUGUUGGUGAGGUAACGGCUCACCAAGGCGACGACGGGUAGCCGGCCUGAGAGGGCGACCGGCCACACUGGGACUGAGACACGGCCCAGACUCCUACGGGAGGCAGCAGUGGGGAAUAUUGCACAAUGGGCGAAAGCCUGAUGCAGCGACGCCGCGUGAGGGAUGACGGCCUUCGGGUUGUAAACCUCUUUCAGCAGGGAAGAAGCGAAAGUGACGGUACCUGCAGAAGAAGCGCCGGCUAACUACGUGCCAGCAGCCGCGGUAAUACGUAGGGCGCAAGCGUUGUCCGGAAUUAUUGGGCGUAAAGAGCUCGUAGGCGGCUUGUCACGUCGGUUGUGAAAGCCCGGGGCUUAACCCCGGGUCUGCAGUCGAUACGGGCAGGCUAGAGUUCGGUAGGGGAGAUCGGAAUUCCUGGUGUAGCGGUGAAAUGCGCAGAUAUCAGGAGGAACACCGGUGGCGAAGGCGGAUCUCUGGGCCGAUACUGACGCUGAGGAGCGAAAGCGUGGGGAGCGAACAGGAUUAGAUACCCUGGUAGUCCACGCCGUAAACGGUGGGCACUAGGUGUGGGCAACAUUCCACGUUGU